rnacentral:rRNA from 1 species
UACGGGGGGAGCAAGCGUUGUUCGGAUUUACUGGGCGUAAAGGGCGCGUAGGCGGUCAGCACAAGUCAGUUGUGAAAUCUCCGGGCUUAACCCGGAAAGGUCAACUGAUACUGUGCGACUAGAGUGCGGAAGGGGCAACUGGAACAGCCGGUGGAGCGGUGAAAUGCGUUGAUAUCGGCUGGAACUCCGAUGGCGAAGGCAAGGUGCUGGACCCUCUCUGACGCUGAGGCGCGAAAGCCAGGGGAGCGAACGGG